UACGGAGGGAGCUAGCGUUGUUCGGAAAUACUGGGCGUAAAGCGCACGUAGGCGGCGCAGCAAGUCAGGGGUGAAAUCCCGGGGCUCAACCCCGGAACUGCCCUUGAAACUGCAGUGCUAGAAUCCUGGAGAGGCGAGUGGAAUUCCGAGUGUAGAGGUGAAAUUCGUAGAUAUUCGCAAGAACACCAGUGGCGAAGGCGGCUCACUGGCCCGGUACUGACGCUGAGGCACGAAAGCGUGGGGAGCAAACAGG
rnacentral:rRNA from 1 species